CACGUAGGGGGCGAGCGUUGUCCGGAUUUAUUGGGCGUAAAGGGCUCGUAGGCGGCUCAGUAAGUCGGGUGUGAAACCUCCAGGCCCAACCUGGAGACGCCACUCGAUACUGCUGUGGCUAGAGUCCGGUAGGGGAGCAUGGAAUUCCUGGUGUAGCGGUGAAAUGCGCAGAUAUCAGGAGGAACACCGGUGGCGAAGGCGGUUCUCUGGGCAUGUUCUGACGCUGAGGAGCGAAAGUGUGGGGAGCGAACAGG
rnacentral:rRNA from 1 species